GUAGUUGUGGCCCAGUGGUUAAGGCGAUGGCCUAGAAAUCCAUUGGGGUUUCCCCACGUAGGUUCAAGUCCUGCCGAUUAUG